CAUUUAUCAUUGCAUACUAUAUAUAAUCUUUAUACAUGAGGAAAUAGAGAUUAAGAAGAGGCUUGCCCAACAUAACAAAAUGAUGUCAGUGGUAUAAUCAGAACCCAAGUCUAGCACCAUACUGCUUCUAGCUGUAUGAUCUCAGACAUCUCAUCUCCCCUGCCCGAGCCUCUAUUUCCUUACCAACAAAAUUAAAAAAAAAAACGAACAGCAAUUAAUUAAAACUGGGUGGGCUCCAAAGUUCUCUCUUAUUUUAUAGUCUUCUCAGUUUCCAGGAAGAUGUAACAAUCCUUAAUUGCUUAAUAAACAUCAGAGGUGGAAAUAGCCAUUACUCACACCUGCCACAGCCAAAUGGCAGACCAGGCUACAUUUCUUUUCCUCUUCCAGUUCUCAGGAUCAUCUCAAAGGAGUUGACACCAGGGAAAAAGAGAGUGGCGUAGGGGUGGGCUGUCUCAUUUAUGUACCUACUCAAUUCCAGCUCAGCAGUCUUUGAGCCAUGGACUGUAGCUACACAGCCAAUUAGAAGACUUCAUCAUUACAGAACAAGGCUCUGAGUCAUGUAUUUGCUCAGACUGAAAUCAGAUUGGUUGUGGAGAUGCAAACUGGAAUCUGAAUGCCUGCAGUCCUGGGAUGGACUUUUGGAGUGUUAAAGGACCAACAGGUGCUACAGCGUGACUGGCCAAGAGCGUACGAUAAUUCUAGGGACUCAUAUUUUGGAUUCUUUCCAACAGGCAAUGAAAAAACUGAGGUCCAGAGAGAUGAAGUUAUUGGCUGA
rnacentral:lncRNA from 1 species